rnacentral:rRNA from 1 species
UUAGGUUAAGUUAGAAAGGGCGCACGGUGGAUGCCUUGGCACUAGGAGCCGAAGAAGGACGUGACGAACAACGAUAUGCCUCGGGGAGCUGUAAGUAAGCUUUGAUCCGGGGAUUUCCGAAUGGGGGAACCCACCAUCCGUAAUGGGAUGGUACCCAUAGCUGAAUACAUAGGCUAUGAGGAGGCAGACCUGGGGAACUGAAACAUCUAAGUACCCAGAGGAAGAGAAAGAAAUUAUCGAUUUCCUGAGUAGCGGCGAGCGAAACGGAAACAGCCCAAACCAAGGGGCUUGCCCCUUGGGGUUGUAGGACACUCUACACGGAGUUACAAAGAAACGAAGUAGACGAAGCGAUCUGGAAAGGUCCGCGAAACAAGGUAACAGCCCUGUAAUCGAAACUUCGUUUCCUCCAGAGUGUAUCCUGAGUACGGCGGGACACGUGAAACCCCGUCGGAAUCCGGGAGGACCAUCUCCCAAGGCUAAAUACUUCCUAGUGACCGAUAGUGAACCAGUACCGUGAGGGAAAGGUGAAAAGCACCCCGGGAGGGGAGUGAAAGAGAUCCUGAAACCGUGUGCCUACAAGUAGUUGGAGCCCAUUUACGGGUGACAGCGUGCCUUUUGUAGAAUGAACCGGCGAGUUACGAUUACGUGCAAGGUUAAGCUGAAGAGGCGGAGCCGCAGCGAAAGCGAGUCUGAAUAGGGCGAAUGAGUACGUGGUCGUAGACCCGAAACCGUGUGAUCUACCCAUGUCCAGGGUGAAGUUCAGGUAACACUGAAUGGAGGCCCGAACCCACGCACGUUGAAAAGUGCGGGGAUGAGGUGUGGGUAGGGGUGAAAUGCCAAUCGAACUCGGAGAUAGCUGGUUCUCCCCGAAAUAGCUUUAGGGCUAGCCUCGAGGGAAGAGUAUUGGAGGUAGAGCACUGAUUGGACUAGGGGUCCCCACAGGAUUACCGAAUUCAGUCAAACUCCGAAUGCCAAAUACUUAUCCUCGGGAGUCAGACUGCGAGUGCUAAGAUCCGUAGUCAAGAGGGAAACAGCCCAGACCAUCAGCUAAGGUCCCAAAGUAUACGUUAAGUGGAGAAGGAUGUGGAGUUGCCCAGACAACCAGGAUGUUGGCUUAGAAGCAGCCACCAUUUAAAGAGUGCGUAAUAGCUCACUGGUCGAGUGACUCUGCGCCGAAAAUGUACCGGGGCUAAACGUAUCACCGAAGCUAUGGAUUGCGCACCUGGUGCGCAGUGGUAGGGGAGCGUUCUAAGUGCAGCGAAGUCAGACCGGAAGGACUGGUGGAGCGCUUAGAAGUGAGAAUGCCGGUAUGAGUAGCGAAAAGAGGGGUGAGAAUCCCCUCCGUCGAAAGCCCAAGGUUUCCUGAGGAAGGCUCGUCCGCUCAGGGUAAGUCGGGACCUAAGCCGAGGCUGAAAAGCGUAGGCGAUGGACAACAGGUUGAAAUUCCUGUACCACCUCCUCACCGUUUGAGCAAUGGGGGGACGCAGAAAGGUAGGGUAAGCGCACUGAUGGAUAUGUGCGUCCAAGCAGUUAGGCUGAGAAGUAGGCAAAUCCGCUUCUCGCGAAGGCUGAGCUGUGAUGGCGAGCGAAAUUUAAGUAGCGAAGUUCCUGAUCCUACACUGCCAAGAAAAGCCUCUAGCGAGGUGAGAGGUGCCCGUACCGCAAACCGACACAGGUAGGCGAGAAGAGAAUUCUAAGACGCUCGGGAGAACUCGGAUCACGGUCCUAGGUUAGAAUUUCAAUACAAUCAGGGUAGUAUCCCACCGACGCCUCCACCGAAGCUGGCGCUCCGGGUUCUCUCAGAAUGGUUGGAAAUCAUUCGUAGAGUGCAAAGGCAAAAGGGAGCUUGACUGCGAGACCUACAAGUCGAGCAGGGACGAAAGUCGGGCUUAGUGAUCCGGUGGUUCCGCAUGGAAGGGCCAUCGCUCAACGGAUAAAAGCUACCCUGGGGAUAACAGGCUUAUCUCCCCCAAGAGUCCACAUCGACGGGGAGGUUUGGCACCUCGAUGUCGGCUCAUCGCAUCCUGGGGCUGAAGUAGGUCCCAAGGGUUGGGCUGUUCGCCCAUUAAAGCGGUACGCGAGCUGGGUUCAGAACGUCGUGAGACAGUUCGGUCCCUAUCCGUCGCGGGCGUAGGAAAUUUGAGAGGAGCUGUCCUUAGUACGAGAGGACCGGGAUGGACACACCGCUGGUGUACCAGUUGUUCCGCCAGGAGCAUAGCUGGGUAGCUACGUGUGGAAGGGAUAAGUGCUGAAAGCAUCUAAGCAUGAAGCCCCCCUCGAGAUGAGAUUUCCCUUGGAGUUAAUCCAGUAAGACCCCUUAAAGAUGAUGAGGUUGAUAGGUCUCGGGUGGAAGCACGGUGACGUGUGGAGCUGAGAGAUACUAAUCGGUCGAGGACUUAUCCUAUAA